ACACUGCUUAGAACACUGAGUACUAGGAGGUGACCAGAUGGGUCCAAGUGUGAUGCCAGGGACUCGAUGUGUGUGUCAGGAUCAGGGCCAUGGACAAUAACCAGCAUCACAAACAGCCAGUGAUCACCAGGAAGGACCCCCAUGUGUCCAAGUGUGAUGGAAGUUCUUCAAGACUGACCCUGAAAGGUACCUGGCUCCCUCACAGAAAAGAGGAUGGAAAAAUAAUCAGAUGUUUUCACCACAAAAUGGAGAAGUCAUCUUUAACUUUCCUCAAAAAAAUGUUAUCCUCAUAUGACAACAUGUCAACUCAUUUGAGCCUGCUGGAUACAAUAAGAUUUAUUGUUACCCUUGACCUCUGAGAGCUCCUAAAAAUUAUCCUGAGCAGUGUCACAUACGAACUAAACCCAGAAAUACAGGGUAAACCAGUUACACUGACACGAAUGAGCCAGGUGAUGAAUUCUGGUAAUCUCCUACCUCACAAGAGAACAGCACCAAUUGUACAUAUGAAGAUUUUUUUUCUGCAUCCUAUACUUGAGAGAAAGCAUAGAAAAAUUGAAACUAAAGGAAAAUUACGGAAGUCAGAGAUGCUAAAAAGGAACAGAUCAAGUAUCUCCCUUUUGGCCCAAACUUGAAAACUCUGAGGGAACAGAAAGUAAUAUACUGUCACUGCUAUGGAGACUGCUGGUCCUUAGAAGCAAUGAAGAGGCAUCCUCAAAGUUACAUUUAUGAGAGGUUAUCCUUGUAUGGAGCCUACAAACAAGUACCUGUACAAAUACGCCUGCCAGGAUUAAAGCUAAAGGAAGUGGAUCCUGUUACUGUUCUGUGGAGACAGGCAAUGUCAUUCCUUCAGAUUUUUUAAUAUCAUUGCAGAGAUGUAUAACUCAGGGCAGGGAGAUGGAAGGCUGUGGAUAGAAGGUGAAUGAGAAACCCUAAUCUGAUAUUUUAAAAUGUUUGAUAUCCCAGGAAGGCCAGCAUUUAUUUAAAUUUUUCUUUUAAACAUUUUAGAAUAUGUUUGAAGUUCAUUUAGCUAGAAUAGUUUAGAUAAAUUAAUAACAGUAGAAUUAUGUGAAUCAAGAUAGUAGAAACCAGAUGGGUUUUUUUGGAAGAGGGGCUACAUUUUAUGAGAUGAUCUAAUUUAAUUGUGAAAAAUAUGGAAGCUUUUGAGCUCACUAGCCUUGAUACCAUGCAUAGAUUUCAAAUAAGAUUUCAAGGGUCUUUGACACUGAUCUGAGGAGGACUUCUUUAAUCUAUGUUGCUCUAAGUGAAUUACAAUACUUUUUCUUUCCGAUAGAUCCUAAAAGACA